GUCUACAACCAUGCCACCCUGAACAAACCCGAUUCGUCUGAUCUCAGAAGCUAAGCAGGAUCGGGCCUGGUUAGUACUUGGAUGGGAGACAAUCUAGAAAGACCAAGGGCUGUAGGCA
rnacentral:rRNA from 1 species